rnacentral:rRNA from 1 species
AUUGAACGCUGGCGGCAUGCCUUACACAUGCAAGUCGAACGGCAGCACGGGAGCAAUCCUGGUGGCGAGUGGCGAACGGGUGAGUAAUAUAUCGGAACGUGCCCAGUCGUGGGGGAUAACGCAGCGAAAGCUGUGCUAAUACCGCAUACGAUCUCUGGAUGAAAGCGGGGGACCUGCAAGGGCCUCGCGCGAUUGGAGCGGCCGAUAUCAGAUUAGCUAGUUGGUGGGGUAAAAGCCCACCAAGGCGACGAUCUGUAGCUGGUCUGAGAGGACGACCAGCCACACUGGAACUGAGACACGGUCCAGACUCCUACGGGAGGCAGCAGUGGGGAACUUUGGACAAUGGGCGCAAGCCUGAUCCAGCAAUGCCGCGUGCAGGAUGAAGGCCUU